GGGAAAUGGACUUCCGCAGACGACUUUCAGGAGUAGUUUGCAAACCACCUUAUGCUGCAUUGAGCGGAAACUCUUUUUGUGGUGAACGAUAAGGAAAAGCGAGGGCUUGACUCUUGCAGGU
rfam:Bacteroidetes bacterium GWA2_32_17 gwa2_scaffold_10548, whole genome shotgun sequence.